UACGGAGGAUCCAAGCGUUAUCCGGAAUCAUUGGGUUUAAAGGGUCCGUAGGCGGUUUGGUAAGUCAGUGGUGAAAGCCCAUCGCUCAACGGUGGAACGGCCAUUGAUACUGCCAGACUUGAAUUAUUAGGAAGUAACUAGAAUAUGUAGCGUAGCGGUGAAAUGCUUAGAGAUUACAUGGAAUACCAAUUGCGAAGGCAGGUUACUACUAAUGGAUUGACGCUGAUGGACGAAAGCGUGGGUAGCGAACAGG
rnacentral:rRNA from 1 species